AGUGAACGCUGGCGGUAGGCCUAACACAUGCAAGUCGAACGGCAGCACAGUAAGAGCUUGCUCUUACGGGUGGCGCGUGGCGGACGGGUGAGGAAUACAUCGGAAUCUACUUUUUCGUGGGGGAUAACGUAGGGAAACUUACGCUAAUACCGCAUACGACCUACGGGUGAAAGCAGGGGAUCUUCGGACCUUGCGCGAUUGAAUGAGCCGAUGUCGGAUUAGCUAGUUGGCGGGGUAAAGGCCCACCAAGGCGACGAUCCGUAGCUGGUCUGAGAGGAUGAUCAGCCACACUGGAACUGAGACACGGUCCAGAAUCCUACGGGAGGCAGCAGUGGGGAAUAUUGGACAAUGGGCGCAAGCCUGAUCCAGCCAUACCGCGUGGGUGAAGAAGGCCUUCGGGUUGUAAAGCCCUUUUGUUGGGAAAGAAAAGCAGCAGGUUAAUACCCCGCUGUUCUGACGGUACCCAAAGAAUAAGCACCGGCUAACUUCGU
rnacentral:rRNA from 1 species